AUGGAAGACUUCCACAAUGGACGCAAGUCUGAUGGAGCAACGCCGCGUGAGUGAAGAAGGUUUUCGGACCGUAAAGCUCUGUUGUUGGUGAAGAAGGAUAGAGGUAGUAACUGGCCUUUAUUUGACGGUAAUCAACCAGAAAGUCACGGCUAACUACGUGCCAGCAGCCGCGGUAAUCGUAGGUGGCAAGCGUUGUCCGGAUUUAUUGGGCGUAAAGCGAGCGCAGGCGGAAGAAUAAGUCUGAUGUGAAAGCCCUCGGCUUAACCGAGGAAUUGCAUCGGAAACUGUUUUCUUGAGUGCAGAAGAGGAGAGUAGAACUCCAUGUGUAGCGGUGGAAUGCGUAGAUAUAUGGAAGAAUACCAGUGGCGAAGGCGGCUCUCUGGUCUGCAACUGACGCUGAGGCUCGAAAGCAUGGGUAGCGAACAGGAUUAGAUACCCUGGUAGUCCAUGCCGUAAACGAUGAGUGCUAAGUGUUGGGAGGCUUCCGCCUCUCAGUGCUGCAGCUAACGCAUUAAGCACUCCGCCUGGGGGAGUACGACCGCAAGGUUGAAACUCU
rnacentral:rRNA from 1 species